rnacentral:rRNA from 1 species
AGUGGCGGACGGGUGAGUAACGCGUGAGAAUCUGCCUUGGGGUCGGGGACAACCACUGGAAACGGUGGCUAAUACCGGAUAAGCCGAUUGGUGAAAGAUUUAUUGCCCGAAGAGGAGCUCGCGUCUGAUUAGCUAGUUGGUGAGGUAAGAGCUCACCAAGGCAGCGAUCAGUAGCUGGUCUGAGAGGACGAUCAGCCACACUGGGACUGAGACACGGCCCAGACUCCUACGGGAGGCAGCAGUGGGGAAUUUUCCGCAAUGGGCGAAAGCCUGACGGAGCAAGACCGCGUGAGGGAGGAAGGCUCUUGGGUUGUAAACCUCUUUUCUCAGGGAAGAAGCUCUGACGGUACCUGAGGAAUCAGCCUCGGCUAACUCCGUGCCAGCAGCCGCGGUAAUACGGAGGAGGCAAGCGUUAUCCGGAAUUAUUGGGCGUAAAGCGUCCGCAGGUGGCGAUUCAAGUCUGCUGUCAAAGCACGGGGCUUAACUCCGUAAAGGCAGUGGAAACUGAAUAGCUAGAGUGCCGUAGGGGUAGAGGGAAUUCCCGGUGUAGCGGUGAAAUGCGUAGAGAUCGGGAAGAACAUCGGCGGCGAAAGCGCUCUACUGGACGGCAACUGACACUCAGGGACGAAAGCUAGGGGAGCGAAUGGGAUUAGAUACCCC